rnacentral:rRNA from 1 species
AAAACUUUUAACAACGGAUCUCUUGGUUCUGGCAUCGAUGAAGAACGCAGCGAAAUGCGAUAAGUAAUGUGAAUUGCAGAAUUCAGUGAAUCAUCGAAUCUUUGAACGCACAUUGCGCCCGCCAGCAUUCUGGCGGGCAUGCCUGCUCGAGCGUCAUUU